GGGAUUAGCCGAGGGGAUCAUUCUGAUUUGUGAUGGGGUCUUUGCUUUGUACCCCUGCCUCACUGGCGUCGGGUCGGGGUUACGCUUCCUUAGGCAAGUCCGAGGUCCACUUUAUGAGCUAAAGAUGCAUCGUUGAAGGCCAUAGCGAGUGUGAGUUGAGGAUAUAAACCCAUACACGACCUGCUCGGUUGAAAAAUAUCGCUCCAGAGUAGGAAGCUAACUGUGUGCGCUGCACUCCCGGUGAUGCUAGCUAAGGCAAGUUACACAUAUACCUUAGCAUACGUUAGCUAACAUCUCCAGUUGUUGCUAGCCGGCUAACCCUGAGAGUAGAUUUUAAGCACUUUUUAAGACGGCAUAAUGCUGUCUGUACUCGUCGCAAGUGUUUACCCCGUAACAAUUGAGUAAUAAUAAAGUCAUAUAAGGGUUUAAGAAGCGACAGUGUCGCUGUAAGCAGACAGGAAAGCCCGGAAACCUUAAAUGACACUGUAACGUUAACAAAAGAAAGAAUUUGAGCCGCUAAUAGCUCACAAUUAUUUCUGUAACGCCGUCGUGUUUGGUUUUGUGUGUACGGUUUUGGUUUUGAAAUGAAUGUCAUAUAACAGGAAUAAGCAGACUUUUGAGGUCGAAGAUAAACAGAGACACACAUAUAGACUACUUCUUUAUCAUGGGGUAAUUCAGAUCUGUUUUCACCAUGAGAGAGAGUUACCGAGGUGGAAAGUAACUCUUUACAUUUAACACAUUUCACAAACAGUACUCUUACUUCUCAUUUCUAUACUCUUUGAAAGUAUUGCACGUCACCACAUCAUAUAUAUCACCAGUUACUGAGUUGUAAAUUGCUAAAAACAAACAACCUAUGCGCUCUCCAUCAAUUGCAUGGAUAUCUACAGAACAAACAACAUAGAUCUUAUCGAGUGAAACUAUCCAAAUUCUACUUUGUAUAUCUUAUUAUGCUUAAUAUGAGCUACACCUUAACCUGACAGAGCUAAAAUCAAAUCAUGUCUCAACACAUUCUAAGCAAGAGUUUUCUUGAUGAUGUGAAUAUUAGUCCUAUUUAGGGCUGGGUGAUCAAACGAGAAUAUAUUUCCCUCAAUAUCAAUAUAAAACAUGGUCGAUAUGCCUUUCGAUAGUCAGCAUUCUGCCAUGUUUUGGUAGACUAUAUGAACAGCCAAUGGAGAGGGAAGUUGCUCCUGAACUAAUCAUGCGCUGAAUUAGAACCACGUAGCAAACAAUUGCGUAGUAGGGGGCUGCAGCUACAUGCAACCAUAGCACUUUAACACGUGAGGUCGACAGCACUGUCGGUGAGAAAAAAAGAAAAUGAAAAAAAUAUGAUAACAUUGUUGACAACACUGACACGAAAACGUCGGUGGUGUGGAGGUAUUUUGGUUUUUUGAGGUCGGACAUGAAGCAGAGUAAUGUGCACUGCAAAUUUUGUUGAGUACAUGUUCUCGCAAAGUCGGGGAAUACCUAAAAUCUUUUCUACCACCUGAAGCAGAGCAUGCGCAAUGCAAAAGGUUACAAACCCCGAGCGGAGCAAGGAGCCCACGGCGCCUGUGCAGCGAAACAGCUGACCAUUCAGUCCGCUUCCUCUAGCGCAAUGCCUACGACAAAACGUCGAAGAGAAACAAAGACGUCAUAGAUUCAGUAGCUUAUUGUAUUGCAAAAGACAUGCUGCUAAUAAGCACUGUUAAAUUUCAUUUUUUAUAUCCUGAUAUAUAUCGAUAUCGACUGAUACGAAAAAAUAUAUUUCAUGAUGAACUUUUUCCCAUAUCGCCCAGCCCUAGUCCUAAUUAAUGGAAAACUGUCAGGAAAAUGUUUCUCAAUGCAUUGGCAGCCUGUAUUACUCAUUACAUUCAAGAAAGCCUCCAAGUUUGGCAUUUCAUUACAAGCCUCUCUGCACAGCCAGCCAUGACUCCAGUGUGCAAGGACCAUCUACAAAUUGCAAUAUUGGCGAAGGACGCGGCAAGUUCAUUCAAAAACCUCAUUCAGAAUUGGUACAGAGUCCAAAUCACUUCAGACAUUAAUGAUGUAGAUCAUGUCAGAAUGACUAGUAGCAGAAAAUAUAUACCUACACGAUUAAGGGGUCGAAACGUUUCCUUUUCCCCCACUGCCAUGUGUUGCAAGUAAGUAUUUAAUACUGAUAACUACUGUACAUUUCUAAUUAUGUACUUUUUACCUGUACUAUAUCAACAGACUGACAGUUGUUCUUCUGCUGAAGUAAAUGACAUUUUGCCUAAGUAGAAUAUGUUAGUGCUCGUUCCACCCCUCGAGUCUACUCCCAAUACAUCAUAUAAGUAAGUGCAGUAGUAUAAGAGCACAGAUAGUAGUUUUUCUAUAAGUCUAUGUAUGAUUGCAUCCUAAACUUGAGCACAUUGUACUAUAUAUCACUCUGAAAUGUACACAAUAAAAGUGUUUGUCCAUAGAGUUGUAGAGGAGCAGUGAAUGAGGUGAUUUGGACACCAGAAGCUAUUGCAAAUCAAUAACUUAAGAGACAUGCCCAGGCUUGCUAUUUGGGCCUGUAUAAGUUGCUUACGUCAGAACAGAAGUGCAGUUAAGUUUACAGUGUAAUAAUGCACACUUUUGAGUAGAGACAUGUCUGAUGCCCCACCUCGGAAAAAGCACUCUAUUAAUAUAACAGAGAUAUCAUUUAGGAUCUCAGUGAUAUCUUGU